UAUAUGUUGGACUUCUGGUUUUCUCUGAUCAUGCAUUUGCAGUAAAGGACUUUGUGCUUCCCUAUUCUGAACUUGAAAGAACUAAUUUGUUCUGCUCAGUUCAAUGUCAAAUAUGACGUUCUGCUUCCCUAUUCUGAAUUUGAAAGAACUAAUUCGUUCCUCUCAGUUGAAUGUUCUACUAUAUUCAAAUAUGACGCCACCAGCUAUAUUCAAAUAUGACGCCAGCAGCUUAAAUUGAACGCUCACAUGUUGAUCCUUGAUGAUGGUACUAAUUUUGCUUCAGAGUUUGUUACCUACGGAGUUUUAUUUAUCUUUGCAUAGUGACAAAAUUUUCCUGAAUAAUAUGGAGUCAGCAAAACAAGGCCUGUUAUCUACAUCAGCUACUUCAAAUGUGUUUAGUGCAAGUUGGGAUAUGGGAUAUCAGCUAAAAGUGGGCAGCUCAUACUUUACCAUUUGUUGUAUGCUGGAAUGACUACUAUACAGAGAAGUCAGUCAGUACUUUAUUUUAAAACGGUUUCUUGCUGGCUUCCUCAAUGAAUGGCUUCCUCAGAAAUAUAAGAGGUUCUUUCAUUGAUAGAUUGCAAAUGGAAGGUCCGGUCAGUUUGCUCAUUCUCCGACUGAUCAGCACCUUUGGUAGACAGCAAGGUGCAUCUCCACCCGGAUUACAUGGUAGCCUUUUGUUGGUAAUUGUAAGUCCCGCUUCCAGUUUAUGCAUGUCUGCAGCCUUUUUAUUCUUACAUAUGACUGUCCAUUUGGCUUUCAAUUGUUUAACGGUAAGCUUCUCCAAAUGGGUCAUUCCAAGUGUGAUUUAGUUAUGUCUACUUCUCAUAAUAUGUUAUUUUCAAAUUACAGAUUAUUAUUCAACAUGAAAUAAAAAAAAUCAAAUGUUGGAAGCCUUCUCAUCAAAGGGAAAUGUUCAGAUUAAAAUUGCGAGGUUUCAACUUCAGAUUUUAUCAAGGAAAAUCACGAAGAUUCAUCGUAAGAAAUACUUUUAAACCGGGGGUGGUAAGUGUAUUCAUGCAAUAUGCUAUAACUCACCAAUUUUUUGACAAUUUUAUUGAAAAGAAAUAUUAACAAAUCAAGAUUGUCAGUGGUGCGGUAUUAUGAAUUAACAGUACAUUAGCAGGCUGAGUAAUUUCAGUUCAAGCAUGACCUCCCCUAAGUUUCUUUAUUAUUCUCGGCCUUUUUGCUAGCCUUUUAGUGGCUCUUUAUAUUUUUCUUCGAGGCAAACCAUCUUGCGCACUUCAAGUUUUUUUUUUCAAGUAAUCACACUUCAAAGUUCAGUGUUGAUGAUGCCAAUUGGUAUUUGAUGAAAGUGGUUUACCAACUACACAGCCUAGAAAUCAAGAGGUGGUUGAUCAUCUACGGGCUACAACAGUGCUCAGCGCUACAACUGAUCGAAUGACUGGGGAUAUUUCUGAACGCAUGACUAUAACUUCAGCUCUAUUACCAUUUUACAUUUGUUUGCUUCAUGUCAUCUUGCUCUAUGCAACAUACGGCUAUGCUACAGUUUGAUCCGCUGAAUUUUGUUGAGCUUUGUAUAUACACUUCAGAUAUAUGGCAAUGUGUGUAGGAUCAUGACUAUGUUCAAGGGCUCAAUCCGAAGUUCGUGCAGCUGAAGGUUACAGAUUUUGGUCAAACAAUCUAUGAGAAAUGGACCCCUUGCGAAUAUAAUGAACUUAAGCUAGACAGAAAACCAUAUAGACAGUGUUCUUUUCUCUCUACUAUUUUAGCUAAUGUGUUAAAGGGUACCUUAUUUAGUUUUGUUCUCUGUAUUGUGUGGUGUUGUACAUGUUGUGGUGAAGAAGUAUAUCAAAAGCCCCACUUUCUAUUUAUUUGCUCUUA